rnacentral:rRNA from 1 species
UAAACGAUGUGUGUUAGACGUUGGAAAUUUAUUUUCAGUGUCGCAGCGAAAGCAAUAAACACACCGCCUGGGGAGUACGACCGCAAGGUUAAAACUCAAAUGAAUUGACGGGGACCCGCACAAGUAGUGGAGCAUGUGGUUUAAUUCGAAGAUACGCGCAGAACCUUACCAACACUUGACAUGUUCGUCGCGACUUUAAGAGAUUAAAGUUUUCGGUUCGGCCGGACGAAACACAGGUGCUGCAUGGCUGUCGUCAGCUCGUGUCGUGAGAUGUUGGGUUAAGUCCCGCAACGAGCGCAACCCUCACUUUUAGUUGCCAUCAUUAAGUUGGGCACUCUGAAAGAACUGCCAGUGAUAAGCUGGAGGAAGGUGGGGAUGACGUCAAGUCCUCAUGGCCCUUACGCGUUGGGCUACACACGUGCUACAAUGGUAUCUACAACAGGAAGCAAGACGGCGACGUUAAGCAAAUCCUUAAAAGAUACCUCAGUUCGGAUUGCACUCUGCAACUCGAGUGCAUGAAGCUGGAAUUACUAGUAAUCGUGGAUCAGCGUGCCACGGUGAAUGCGUUCCCGGGUCUUGUACACACCGCCCGUCACACCAUGGGAGUUGGUUCUACCUUAAGGCAAGGUUUAAUACCCUUGACCACGGUAUAGUCAGCGACUGGGGUGAAGUCGUAACAAGGUAACC